GUCGAGCGGCGGACGGGUGAGUACACUUAGGAAUCUACCUAGUAGUGGGGGAUAGCUCGGGGAAACUCGAAUUAAUACCGCAUACGACCUACGGGAGAAAGGGGGCAACUUGUUGCUCUCGCUAUUAGAUGAGCCUAAGUCGGAUUAGCUAGUUGGUGGGGUAAAGGCCUACCAAGGCGACGAUCUGUAGCUGGUCUGAGAGGAUGAUCAGCCACACCGGGACUGAGACACGGCCCGGACUCCUACGGGAGGCAGCAGUGGGGAAUAUUGGACAAUGGGGGCAACCCUGAUCCAGCCAUGCCGCGUGUGUGAAGAAGGCCUUUUGGUUGUAAAGCACUUUAAGCAGUGAAGAAGACCAUACGGUUAAUACCCGUAUGCGAUGACAUUAGCUGCAGAAUAAGCACCGGCUAACUCUGUGCCAGCAGCCGCGGUAAUACAGAGGGUGCAAGCGUUAAUCGGAAUUACUGGGCGUAAAGCGAGCGUAGGUGGCUUGAUAAGUCAGAUGUGAAAUCCCCGGGCUUAACCUGGGAACUGCAUCUGAUACUGUUAGGCUAGAAUAGGUGAGAGGAAGGUAGAAUUCCAGGUGUAGCGGUGAAAUGCGUAGAGAUCUGGAGGAAUACCGAUGGCGAAGGCAGCCUUCUGGCAUCAUAUUGACACUGAGGUUCGAAAGCGUGGGUAGCAAACAGGAUUAGAUACCCUGGUAGUCCACGCCGUAAACGAUGUCUACUAGUCGUUGGGUCCCUUGAGGACUUAGUGACGCAGCUAACGCAAUAAGUAGACCGCCUGGGGAGUACGGCCGCAAGGUUAAAACUCAAAUGAAUUGACGGGGGCCCGCACAAGCGGUGGAGCAUGUGGUUUAAUUCGAUGCAACGCGAAGAACCUUACCUGGUCUUGACAUAUCUAGAAUCCUGCAGAGAUGCGGGAGUGCCUUCGGGAAUUAGAAUACAGGUGCUGCAUGGCUGUCGUCAGCUCGUGUCGUGAGAUGUUGGGUUAAGUCCCGCAACGAGCGCAACCCUUGUCCUUAGUUACCAGCGGGUUAAGCCGGGAACUCUAAGGAUACUGCCAGUGACAAACAGGARGAAGGCGGGGACGACGUCAAGUCAUCAUGGCCCUUACGACCAGGGCUACACACGUGCUACAAUGGUAGGUACAGAGGGCAGCUACACAGCGAUGUGAUGCGAAUCUUUCAAAGCCUAUCGUAGUCCAGAUUGGAGUCUGCAACUCGACUCCAUGAAGUAGGAAUCGCUAGUAAUCGCGG
rnacentral:rRNA from 1 species